rnacentral:rRNA from 1 species
CAGUCGCCGCGGGAAUACGUAAGUGGCAAGCGUUGUCCGGAAUUAUUGGGCGUAAAGCGCGCGCAGGCGGAUCAGUUAGUCUGUCUUAAAAGUUCGGGGCUUAACCCCGUGAUGGGAUGGAAACUGCUGAUCUAGAGUAUCGGAGAGGAAAGUGGAAUUCCUAGUGUAGCGGUGAAAUGCGUAGAUAUUAGGAAGAACACCAGUGGCGAAGGCGACUUUCUGGACGAAAACUGACGCUGAGGCGCGAAAGCCAGGGGAGCGAACGGGAUUAGAUACCCCUGUAGUCCCUGUCUCUUAUACA